AGUCCAUGAUGUGGGCAAAACCUUAAAAUAUCCUUGUAUCUCUCUCAUGCUUCAAAAAUAGAUUCUUUGUCUUUUUUCCUAAAUAUGUUGAUUUGGCUUCUUAGCAU